AUGUUAUGUGGCAAGCCUAACCGACUAGGGGAGGCGCAGCGAAAGCGAGUCCGAACAGGGCGAUUCAGUCGCAUGGCAUAGACCCGAAACCAGAUGAGCUAACCAUGGCCAGGCUGAAGGUGUGGUAACACACACUGGAGGGCCGAACCUACUGGUGUUGCAAAACCAGAGGAUGAGCUGUGGUUAGGGGUGAAAGGCUUAACAAAUCUGGAGAUAGCUGGUUCUCCCCGAAAACUAUUGAGGUAGUGCCUUGCGCAUGAGCUUCUGGGGGUAGAGCACUGUUAUAGCUAGGGGGACAUGGCGUCUUACCAAACUAUGGCAAACUCCGAAUACCAGAAAGCUUCGCGCAGGAGACAGAGCACCGGGUGCUAACGUCCGGACUCAAAAGGGAAUCAACCCAGACCGCCAGCUAAGGUCCCUAAUAUCAGCUAAGUGGAAAACGAAGUGGAAAGGCUAAAACAGUCAGGAAGUUGGCUUAGAAGCAGCCAUCCUUCAAAGAAAGCGUAAUAGCUCACUGAUCGAGUCCUUCCGCGCGGAAGAUGUAACGGGGCUAAGUUGAUAACCGAAGCUGCGGAUUCACACUUUGAGUGUGAGUGGUAGGGGAGCGUUCUGUAAGCCUGUGAAGGUGGAUCGUAAGGUCUGCUGGAGGUAUCAGAAGUGCGAAUGCUGACAUGAGUAACGAUAAAGCGGGUGAAAAGCCCGCUCGCCGCAAACCCAAGGUUUCCUGCUCUACGUUAAUCGGAGCAGGGUGAGUCGGUUCCUAAGGCCAGGCUGAGAAGCGUAGCUGAUGGAAAUCAGGUUAAUAUUCCUGAACCGACGUUGAAUGCGAUGGGGUGACGGAGCAGCCAGAGUGGACCGGGUGUUGGAUGUCCCGGCUUCCGAGCGAUGGGUGCCUGCAGGCAAAUCCGCAGGCGUAUACCCAGGACGAAGGAUCGGGUCUUCUUUUGAAGACGAAGCCACUGGAAGCGCUUCCAGGAAAAACCUCUAAGCUUCAGUUCAACGGCGACCGUACCGUAAACCGACACAGGUGGGUGAGCUGAAUAUGCUCAGGCGCUUGAGAGAACUCGGGAGAAGGAACUCGGCAAAUUGACACCGUAACUUCGGAAGAAGGUGUGCCUUUGUAGCUUGACGGGAGAGAAACCCGAAGGGCGAAGAGGUCUCAGAGAAUCGGUGGCUGUAACUGUUUACUAAAAACACAGCGCUCUGCAAAGAUGAAAGUCGACGUAUAGGGCGUGAUGCCUGCCCGGUGCUGGAAGAUUAAUUGAUGGGGUGCAAGCUCCUGAUCGAAGUCCCAGUAAACGGCGGCCGUAACUAUAACGGUCCUAAGGUAGCGAAAUUCCUUGUCGGGCAAGUUCCGACCUGCACGAAUGGCAUAAUAAUGGCCACACUGUCUCCUCCCGAGACUCAGUGAAAUUGAAAUGUUUGUGAUGAUGCAAUCUCCCCGCGGCUAGACGGAAAGACCCCAUGAACCUUAACUGUAGCUUUGCAUUGGACUUUGAACCGAUCUGUGUAGGAUAGGCGGGAGGCUUUGAAGAAUGGACGCCAGUUCAUUCGGAGCCGUCGUUGAAAUACCGCCCUGAUUUGUUUGAGGUUCUAACCUGGGCCAGUGAUCCUGGCUGGGGACCGUGCAUGGUGGGCAGUUUGACUGGGGCGGUCUCCUCCUAAAGGGUAACGGAGGAGUGCGAAGGUACGCUAAUCACGGUCGGAAAUCGUGAGGAUACUGCAAUGGGAAAAGCGUGCCUGACUGCGAGACAGACAAGUCGAGCAGAUGCGAAAGCAGGUCAUAGUGAUCCGGUGGCUUCUGUAUGGAAGGGCCAUCGCUCAACGGAUAAAAGGUACUCUGGGGAUAACAGGCUGAUACCGCCCAAGAGUUCAUAUCGACGGCGGUGUUUGGCACCUCGAUGUCGGCUCAUCUCAUCCUGGGGCUGUAGCCGGUCCCAAGGGUAUGGCUGUUCGCCAUUUAAAGAGGUACGUGAGCUGGGUUUAAAACGUCGUGAGACAGUUUGGUCCCUAUCUACCGCGGGCGCUGGAAGAUUGACAGGGGCUGCUCCUAGUACGAGAGGACCGGAGUGGACGCACCUCUGGUGUAUCGGUUGUGACGCCAGUCGCAUUGCCGAGUAGCUAUGUGCGGAAGAGAUAACCGCUGAAAGCAUCUAAGCGGGAAACUUGCCUGAAGAUUAGUCUUCCCGGAGGCUUGACCUCCCUGAAGGGUCGUCCGAGACCAGGACGUUGAUAGGCCAGGUGUGGAAGCGCUGUGAGGCGUGAAGCUAACUGGUACUAAUUGCCCGUGCGGCUUGAUCCU
rnacentral:rRNA from 1 species